GAUGAAGAACGUAGCGAAAUGCGAUAAGUAAUGUGAAUUGCAGAAUUCAGUGAAUCAUCGAAUCUUUGAACGCACAUUGCGCCCCCUGGUAUUCCGGGGGGCAUGCCUGUCCGAGCGUCAUUACAACCCUCAAGCUCAGCUUGGUGUUGGGCCCCGCCGCCCCGGCGGGCCCUAAAGUCAGUGGCGGUGCCGUCCGGCUCCGAGCGUAGUAAUUCUUCUCGCUCUGGAGGUCCGGUCGUGUGCUCGCCAGCAACCCCCAAUUUUUUUCAGGUUGACCUCGGAUCAGGUAGGGAUACCCGCUGAACCUAAGCAUAUCAAAAGCGGAGGA
rnacentral:misc_RNA from 1 species